AUUGAACGCUGGCGGCGUGCCUAACACAUGCAAGUCGAGCGGUAACAGGUGUAGCAAUACAUGCUGACGAGCGGCGGACGGGUGAGUAACGCUUCGGGAAUCUGCCUGGUUAGUGGGGGGACAACCCGGGGAAACUCGGGCUAAUACCGCAUACGCACUACGGUGGAAAGCCGGGGACCGCAAGGCCUGGCGCUAACAGAUGAGCCCAAGUCGGAUUAGCUAGUUGGGUAGGGUAACGGCCUACCAAGGCGACGAUCCGUAACUGGUCUGAGAGGACGACCAGUCACACCGGAACUGAGACACGGUCCGGACUCCUACGGGAGGCAGCAGUGGGGAAUAUUGGACAAUGGGCGAAAGCCUGAUCCAGCGACGCCGCGUGGGUGAAG
rnacentral:rRNA from 1 species